rnacentral:lncRNA from 1 species
UUCCUUGAUCUUCUCUAGCAACCCCUUCUUCUCCUUGGGAGAUCCGUCCUGGUAUGGCGGCUCCACCGGCGCACACUCCGCCGGAGGGGGCGGCGGCGGAGGAGAAUAGACUUCGUCGGCCUUCUUGUGACCUCCAGGCAGUUUAUCCUUUAGCUUAUCGAGGAAGCCCUUCUUUUCAUCCGCUGGCUCACCGGGCUCGUCGCACUUCUCCACAGGGACGGUCGUAUCCUCCUCGUACUUCUUCUCAGGGACGAUCGUAUGCUCCUCGUACUUCUUCUCUUCUUCCUCCUUCUUCUUCUUCUCUUUCUUCUCCUUCCUCUUCUUCUUCUUUUCCUCCCCCUCUCCUUCCUCUUCGUCGGACUGCACAUUUCAUAUAUGACACACAGUUAGUGAUCUGUUUAUGACUCCGGACAGCAAACAUCACUUAUACCGGAGCAGACUCCUGUCCAUGAUCACCGCAAUAUGCCCAUCAGUGCUCGCACGAUCAUGAUCAAGAAAAAAGCCAAAACUAAUACACAACAAGAAGACCCAGAGAGAGAGAGAGAGAGAGAGAGAGAGAGAGAGAGAGAGGUGGGAAAGUGAGGGAUGGGGCAACUUACUGAGCUGGAGCUGCUGCUAUUAGAUCGGUGGAGUUUCUCCAAGAGGCCAUGCUUCUUCUCCUUCUCUUUAUCCUCCUCCUCUACGACGCACUCUUCCACCUUUACCUUUUCCUGGAACUCCGCCACCAUCACCUCCUCCUGCUUCGUCUCUCCCUCCUCCUCCUUCUUCUUCCCCAUGAAGUCGAACAGCCCGCGGUCCCGGGUCUCCGCAGUCCCUUCCUGGACGACCGGGGUCUCGCACUCGUGGGUGGUCUUGCUCUCGUGAUCCAUUGCUCUAAACACACAGCGCCGCUGCGAUCAACGACCGGCGAUCUCCGAACUAUGCGGUAACGCGAAUAACAAAGGAGCGACAGACGGAUUCGUCGAAGCUUUCUCUGGUGUUUCUAAGUGGGUUUUCUUCGUGAUGAUGCUGAGGAGUGAGUUUGGGCGGUUUUUAUAGCAUAGAAUUAACGCGGAAAUGACGCGAUUAAGCAUGAAGAAGGAAGGAAUUCUGGGGAGAGAUCUGAAGUGGGCCCACCUAGAGGGGGCGGCCAAUCCGCUCCCGCUUCUCAACCGACGUGGUGCGUUAAGAGAGGAAGUCGGACAGCCGACCCAAAAAGGGUAUCGCCACGGGCCGACGCGCCGAGGGAACGCACGCGCCCGCGCUGCUCUCGACGAGCGGCCCCGCUUUCGUCGGAUGGCGCGUGAGCUUACGGUGUACGCGAGCGAGGGGAGCUGGAAAGGCACAGUCAAACGGUGGGAAAAAGAAGGAGAGAGAAAGUAGUAGAGAGAGAGAGGGAGGCGAGGGGAGGUGGGUGGCGCUGUCCUAGCCACUAGGAAGGGGACACGUGGAAUUGCGUCGUGGGAUGGAUGUCCUUGGUCGGGGCCCGCAGAUGCAGAUGUCGGCCUCUUGGCAGAGGAUAAUGGCGCAAGGUCGGCGUGGGGGCCCACGGAGCGAUGUGCGGGCCCACAUGGCUAGUUAAUUGCUUUUCUGUCUCUUCAAUUGCCCAUGACGUGCGCUUCUAAGACUUUCGAACGGAAGGGUUUAUUUUUUCUUUUCUGGUCGAUAAAAGAAAAUUAUAGGUUAGGGAUUAUAUUAGGGGUGAUGAUUUGUGACGCGACAUCAUAAUUGAGCAUGAUGUUAAUAGGGUUAUAUUCAGGUUAGGCUGGUAAAAAUUCCAUGUCAAUUCACUAGAUAUAAUUAAUAGUCGUGUCACAUUCAUAUUCAACUCAUAAUACACAAAAUUAACUUGUAUGACCCGUUGAAUUAAUUAAUUAGUGUCGACGCGAUCUGUAUGUGUCUGACUUUCCAUAUUAUUCACUAUCAAGAUAUGUUAAUUGGUGAUACUUCGUUGAUCCUAAACAUAUUAAUAAUUUGACAUAUAAUAUUUUGUGUAUUGCAUUUUGUAAACAAAUUUUAUAAGAAUUAGAAAUAUUUCAUGCCAGGUUUAUACCGGUGAAUUUAUUCUGUGUCAAUGAGUAUAUUUCAAGUCAUAGUAAGCUAUGCAAACAUGUUGAUCCAGUAACCUGUUAUAUAAUUGUAUUACAUGAGUUAUAUCAUGGCAUCCCAUUAAUUUUGAGAUCAUAUUUGUGUCAAUAACUAAUAAUAUUAUGUUCAAGAUGACAUUUUUUGUAAUAUACUCUUAUGUUGACACAACACGAACACAGCAUGUGAACAUGAAGUGCCAUUUCCAAUUUGUAACCAUUGAAACUAAAUGUCAUUAAUCUUAACCAUUCAUCAAAUUUAAAAAUGACUUUAUACGUAAAAACUAUGAGAAAAUGUAAGUUAUGUCGACAAAUUAUUAGGGCAAACCAUAGUUUUGUUUGAUUUCAUGAAUCAAAUUGAACUAAAGUAAAAUUAUCGAUUACAUUGGAAUAGGGAGGUGAUUUUAAAAUUUUGAUUUAUAAACAUAACCAAACUACCAAACCGAAUAGUAUUAUAAUAUACCAUAAAUGUAUAUCCAAUCUUUACCUCAAGUUGAGUUUUGGGCAUGAAGCGUGCGAGGUCAAGUCGACCUCAAGUCCAGCAUCGUAUCAAUGAAACUCAAUUUUUCAAAUCAUAUUAUCUCAACUUCGAUUCAAUUUUCCAUUCAAGUCCAACCAAACCAUAUCCUGCUCAUCUCUACGAAUCACAAUAAGAUGGGUUGUUGCAUCGAGAGGCCAUGGAAGUACUGGAUUCACAGCGCAUCAGAAGACUCAACAAAUCCAGAAACAAGACAACUCGAAGAUAAAUCAAUUUCUGCAAAAAUCAAAUACAAAAAAGAAAAUUAAAAAAAAAAAUGGGUUGGGAUUGAUCUGGGGGCUACCGACUUGGCUGAGGCAGAGGGGAGCUUCGAGACCUGCGACUGGUAGUUGCCCUGUCAAGUUGUGGCCCUCCCAUCGAUGAAAAUGUCCACCCAGCACCGGGCUUGGGAUGCCGACGUACUCGUUUGUUUGUUUAUUCCCCUCCCCCUCUUUCUCAAAUGAUUCGUAUCCUCAAGUGUAUCCUUCCGAAUUUCAUUCCAAUCAAAUUAUUGCAGCCGUCAAUAUAUCUCGCGAUAACAAAAAUAUAUUAUUCUAAAGUACAUCAAUAUUUAGUCUCUGAUUCAUAUUCUCCCCUCUUAUAAUAUCAAAUUAAAGCCUUAUUGUAAGUAGAAUUUCAAAUGCAUUAGAUCACAUCAUGAGAGAGAAGAGCGCCCCUAAAAUUACCCAACAAUGUGAAUUGAUCAAGUCACAUUGCGUGAAACUAGUUAGAACACCUCCAAAUUAUUAUUAAAAAUGAUCCUCUUGGAUAUUUCUCUUUUUUGCCAUGUCAAAUUUGAGAUUGUUGCUUUUUAAAAGAUACGUUACUUAAGGUAGGCUCAAUCGACAACGAAUUAAUCGAGUCGAAGUGCGCAAAAGCUAGUUAAAACAUUUUUUUGGGUCAAAAGCUAGUUAAAAUAUUACCUAUUUAUUCUUACCCAAAAAACCUCAUCCUUUCCAAUUUUAUUUUAUUUUUUUCCGUCAGUUGGAGUGAUUGAGAUCAUCGCUUUCUAAGGAUACGUUGCUUCGGGCGGACUCCGUGGACAGAUGGUCGGUGGGGUGUCGCCAAUGCCCUUUGCUUUCCCGAUGCACGGAUGUGCAAAAGAAAUCCCAGAACUUCACGGCCGGAUACAGCGGCAAGCCCCUCUCAAUUUGCAGCGUACGGCUCCUCGUCUUAAUCGAGCUGACUGCUGAACGUGCGCGCCUUGGUCCCUUUUACAUCUGUAUCUCUCGCCAGGACGAGGUCCCGAGAUCGGCUCACCGGUCCGGCCCGAAACAUCAAGGCCGAGCAGAUUUCUUCCCAACCCAAGUUGACAGUAAUCGAUCUAUUGUGCUGUGGCGGGCUUUGAUGUGGGAUAAGCGAAGGCGUCCGAAUAGAGGAAAUGAGUUCCUUUUAUAAUGAGAAAUCUCAACUUAGCCAAGUAAGUCAGAGGCCCUUGAAAUGAGGUAUUCUAUUGACUGCAUGUAACACCCGGGUCUCCACUGUACAGAGCCCAUCCUUAUGCCUUGACCUUCCUCCCUAUAAACAUUAAGUUCUCAUGGUUUUAUUUUUCUCGAAAUAACUCAUACUACCCCCAAGAAAACGCGUAUGUAUAGUUAGAGAGCUCAUUGCCUUAUAAGACAGCUCAAACCUCCCUCCCUAGACGAUGUGGGACAAAAGACAUGCCCCUCCAUGCGCGUGUCCGAGGAUCGAAGCGCAGACGCACCGCCAUCCCUCUCCCCGCGCACCGCUGCCUGGGGCGUCACAUUGUAUGUAUUGGGUAAGAAACAAGUUAAAAUCUGACAAUGUUGUAGAGUAGUCUAGGAGUAGAACAGACUAUGUGAUCGGCAUUUGCACCAUAGAAUGACCAAUUUUGGUUGUUAUCAAUAAGCAAUAGAAUUAGUUGAUGAGAGUAAGGUUUUGUCAAUUAUGAACCAAAUUAUCAGCAACUUGAUGAAUUAGUAGCUUGAAAUCUAUUUCUAACCUCCGUUGAUAAUCGUCAAUCAUAGGCCUUAAUAGUCACAUGAUAUUCUUUGGAGGCUCAUCACACAAAGAAACAAACACGUUAUCUUUCAAUAGCUGCAUUGUAGUUAUAGUUUUCAGACUUGUGACAUCGAUUAAAUCCCAACGUAUUUCUUAACUGUAGUUUCUAAAUUUGUAUUAUCGAAUAAAUUCUAGUGUGUAUCUUAGCUACAUAUCUUAAGUGCCUUGUCAUUAAUUAAAUUCUCACGUUGCGCCUUUACAUUCUCAAGCCUUGUCAUCGAUCUAAUUCCAAUAUAGUUUGUGUAUGUUUGGUUCCACUUGAAUUACGUUAUCAUGUUUUGUUUUUAUAGAAUUUUAGCACAAUUUGUGUACGUUCAGUUCUAUUUAAAGUGAAGUUAUCGAUUCUCUUGUCUAUCUAUGAUAUUUUUCAUUUAAAAUCCUUAUAAAACGCGUAUCCUUUAAUAAAAAAAUCAAAGAAUGGCUUUUGAUGAAAGAUAUUUUGUCAUGGAGUCGAAUUCUAGUGCAUUAAUAAGAUGCCACAUGUCAUCAUUGAUGCAUGCUCACACAAAAACCAUUACUAAAAUUAUGGAGAAGAUAUGUCGCUCUUGUGAAUUUUACUAUGAGCUCAUUGUGUUAAAACUCUCUAAAACAUCGACAAUUCCAUGCAAGAGUUUCUACUCUAUGACACCAGAUGGAUAGAAAAAUCGAAUCUGGGAUUGAUAUUUGGCUGAGUUUUUGCCUUGCUCUGCUAGUGGAAAAUGGAAAUAGCCUGGAUUGAGCUGUUUGGAGUUGCCGUGUGGAGGACGCAACCUUAAGAUGAUCUAAUGGCUUUGCCUCAUCCAGGAGACUACCCUGUUUUCAUUAACACUCGAAAAGACCGAUUGAUUGUACCUGGAGUGUUUCUCCUGUGUUAGGUAGUUCUGUCGUCUAUGCAUAGUUUACAGCUUCUCUUUUGCAAGCAAUCAUAUAUUGUUCACUCAAAUCGAUCGUGCAUUUCUCAGUUCUUUUCCGUUUGCGCUUUUAUGGGGCGUGCUAAGUUCAAUGAUAAUUCCGACCAAAAAAAAAAGUUCAAUGAUAACUGCUAGGAAAACUUCACUGAUGCGGGAUGGAUGCAGUUGUCUCUGUCUAUGGGGAGUUUCAUAGCUAUUUUAGCUUUUUCAGCAGUUCCUCUAUACUUUAGACGUAUCGGAUUUGCUUUUUAUCUUGGUAUGCCUCCCCAACAACGUUGCUGUUGGGCAUGAAAGUUGCGAAGAAAAUGAGAUCAGCUAGGGAGAAGAAGCUAAGGACGCCUCUUCCUUUGUCCAUAUAGACAGUAAACGGAAAAAAUAUGCACGCUCACUUAGUUUGUAUGAAAAUGGAAAUUCUUGGGCGUACCUUCGUCCAUUAUGUUCUCUAGUAGUCGAAUAUGUAGGCAAGGAUCGUACAAGACGUAUAGCCCGGGCGCACUUGGAUUGUAAUUGGAGUGCUCCUGUCCCUCCAGGGAGAAAUGGAGAAUUUUUUUUCGGUUGAAUUAGGUGAAUUGGUUCUAGGAAUAGUUCCUUUCGUGCUCCUUGCUGGCAAUGCAAAAGCAGUCCCAACAAAUUGUUUACUGGUCAACGGAUAAAAAAAGAAGAAGGAAAGCCAUCGCCUCGGUGACCUUUAGAUAAGAGGAAAGAAGGGGCAUGGGCGCGCAGAAAGGGGAGGAGGGAAGGAAGAAAUAUAAAAGAGAGGGGAAAAAAUGAAAAAAUUGUUUCGGACACCCGAUAAGUCAGAUUAACUACGUUUUGCAGUGCCUCAGUAAGUAUUCAAGUCAUUUAUUCAUACGAUAAUUUUCGAAAUUAGGUCAAAUAUUCGAAAUUAUAUAAGUUUGAGCUACAAAAUCCGAUUUUAGAGUUAUUAAGCUAUGGAAUUUUAUGAAUAUCAUGGAUUAGGGCAUUAUCAAGUCAUGGGUUUUGAUUAGAGUCGAUUUGAAGUAACAAUUUAGUCAGAGUGAGAUUCUGAAGUUUCGACUUGAGCUCCGUGUUAAGAAUAAUUUUGAAUAUCUAUUUUAGACAACAUUUUUGUUAGUGCGUAGGAGUUGCUUUGUCAGCGAGUAAACUUGAUUUAGCUAAUUCGUAGUUAAGUUAGUCUCUUACUCAACUUUGACGUUAUUUCUCGCUUGUUUGAGAAGAUUAUGAGUUUGACAAUUUGAGUAAUCUUUAUUAUUUGAUCAUAGGUGUUAUCAGGUGAGUUGUACCAUCUCUUUUAUGAAUUUAUAAACUCAUGUCGUGAAAUCAAUAGAAAUUCGAUAUAUUAUGAUUUCUCAUGUUUACUGUAUAAAAUUUGGAUCGGACAUUUAUAACUUUUUGAUUAUUUGUGAAUGCCAUGAGAAACGUUUGAAACAUUUUGAAAUGUUAUGAGCAUUAUGACAUGAAUUCCAAAAUGGUGUGAGAAAUGUCCUUAUAAAAUGUAUGUCAUAUUGAUAAAUGGAGUUGAGAGAGAUUAUAUAUUUUGAGUUUACGAAACCUUUUUGUAAAAGAAUUACGAAAAACUCUUGACUUUGAGUAUUGUUUAUGAAAUAUUAUAUGUAUUGAUUUGUGAAAUGCUUUAUGAAUAGACUCUAUUCGAUAAAUUUAAGUUGUGAAAGGUGAUUUAAUUCGAUUUGUGAAACUGGUUUAUGAGAUGAAUUAUGAUUUUGAUUGUGAGAUUAUUGGAGAAUAUGAGGUUUAUGCUUAUGUGGCUAGAAAUCUUUUGAAGGGGGAGUAUGCUAUCGCCACCUACCCCUCAGAGGAGAAAAUAGGUUUAGAGGUAUUGCGUAAAUAGGGUCUUAUGGCCCAUGAUCAGGCACAUGCUUUCCUAAACUUAUAUUUCGCGCAAGUUGAGGUGUUCAUAAGAAUUUUGUAAUAAAGAGUCACUAUUAACCUAUAAAUCAAGUGAGAUGUGUGAGUAUACCUCACUUCCUACAUAACUAGAAAAUCUAUGAUCAGAGACUUCAUUACAUUAAUUGACAAACUAAUGCCCUUUCGAUACCUAAUAAUGUUCAUAUGUUUGAAAAAAAAAAUUAUCAAGCAGUUUAAAUUAAUUUUAGGCUUAUCCACUAACGUAAGAGGUGAUCAUGGAGGUGCGUAAUCAUCAACAUGAUAAAAAUGCCAAAAACGAAAGUAUGCGAAUAAGGGUAAUUGUCUUUGAAAACCGUUAAAACUCUAAGAUAAAAUCCUAAGGGCUUAAAUUCUUGGCACAACUUUAGAGUUAUGAAACUUCCAUUUUUUUAAGAAAAUAGCUUAGAAAGUCUGUUUUUAAAAUUUCUCAAAUGAAAUUUUGAAUUUUCUAAGAUUUUUGAAUUUUUUGAAUUUUCUGAUUUUUUUAUUUUUUUAAUCAAUUUUUUGAAAAAAAAAUCGAAUUUUCAAUAUUUUCUAAAAGCUUUUGAAUUUUUUAGUGUUCUUCGAAAGUUUUUGGAUUUUUAUUUUUUUUCCAUUUUCAGAAAAAUUCUGAAUUUUUAAAUUUUUUUAAAUAUUUUUGUGAUAUUUAAUAUUAUUAUACCGGGGAAAGGCUCGGAUCGGGUAAACCCGAUCCGACCCGCUGAUCCAAUCCAAACUCAGGUUGGACCCAAUCAAAACAACCACCGCGGCAAAGCAAAUCCACACGUUUCUUUUAUUUGCCUUGCCCAAUUUGAAUUUUGAAGAAGGAACCAUUUUUUUUUAUCUUGUUGCUAGAGGUUUCCUAAUUAAUAAUCAGAAAUAUUGGUAGAAAAAAGAAUUAUCCGCACGAUUCUUUCUACAAUUUACAAUUAAAUAUUAUGAUUAUAUCACCAAAAAAAUUUACUUUGAUUCUGAUAAACUACCUAAUUGUUCGCUAUAAAUACAAAAAUAUAACUAAAUAAAAUAUAAAUAAUUUGACUUAGGGCUCCACUUAACUUAAUAAGUGAAUUUUAAUUCAAAGAAAAAAAAGCAUGAAGCUUAAAUAACUCACUCAGAACACCCUCUAAAGGAUUACGUGUGGUACGAGAAUAAGCCCUUAAACUUUAAGAGCAAAGGCGGUUCUCUCUCUCUCCUUCUCUCGCCCCCUCAGUGACACUCUUUUUCCUUUUCCUUUUCCUCGUCGCCCUUGGGGUGGUACCCGGGCAGCUUUUCCUUGAUCUUCUCCAGCAACCCCUUCUUCUCCUUGGGAGAUCCGUCCUGGUAUGGCGGCUCCACCGGCGCACGCUCUGCCGGAGGGGGCGGCGGCGGAGGAGAAUAGACUUCGUCGGCCUUCUUGUGACCUCCAGGCAGUUUAUCCUUUAGCUUAUCGAGGAAGCCCUUCUUUUCAUCCGCUGGCUCACCGGGCUCGUCGCACUUCUCCACAGGGACG